rnacentral:rRNA from 1 species
GACGAACGCUGGCGGCGUGCUUAACACAUGCAAGUCGAACGGAAAGGCCCUGCUUGCAGGGUACUCGAGUGGCGAACGGGUGAGUAACACGUGGGUGAUCUGCCCUGCACUUCGGGAUAAGCCUGGGAAACUGGGUCUAAUACCGGAUAGGAGCCAUUUUUAGAUGGUUGGAAAGUUUUUUCGGUGUAGGAUGAGCUCGCGGCCUAUCAGCUUGUUGGUGGGGUAAUGGCCUACCAAGGCGGCGACGGGUAGCCGGCCUGAGAGGGUGGACGGCCACAUUGGGACUGAGAUACGGCCCAGACUCCUACGGGAGGCAGCAGUGGGGAAUAUUGCACAAUGGGCGCAAGCCUGAUGCAGCGACGCCGCGUGGGGGAUGACGGCCUUCGGGUUGUAAACUCCUUUCGCUAGGGACGAAGCUUUUUGUGACGGUACCUAGAUAAGAAGCACCGGCUAACUACGUGCCAGCAGCCGCGGUAAUACGUAGGGUGCGAGCGUUGUCCGGAAUUACUGGGCGUAAAGGGCUCGUAGGUGGUUUGUCGCGUCGUCUAUGAAAUUCCGGGGCUUAACUCCGGGCGUGCAGGCGAUACGGGCAUAACUUGAGUACUGUAGGGGUAACUGGAAUUCCUGGUG